AGCGAACGCUGGCGGCAGGCUUAACACAUGCAAGUCGAGCGGGCAUAGCAAUAUGUCAGCGGCAGACGGGUGAGUAACGCGUGGGAACGUACCUUUUGGUUCGGAACAACUGAGGGAAACUUCAGCUAAGACCGGAUAAGCCCUCACGGGGAAAGAUUUAUCGCCGAAAGAUCGGCCCGCGUCUGAUUAGCUAGUUGGUGAGGUAAUGGCUCACCAAGGCGACGAUCAGUAGCUGGUCUGGGAGGAUGAUCAGCCACAUUGGGACUGAGACACGGCCCAAACUCCUACGGGAGGCAGCAGUGGGGAAUAUUGGACAAUGGGCGCAAGCCUGAUCCAGCCAUGCCGCGUGAGUGAUGAAGGCCCUAGGGUUGUAAAGCUCUUUUGUGCGGGAAGAUAAUGACGGUACCGCAAGAAUAAGCCCCGGCUAACUUCGUGCCAGCAGCCGCCGUAA
rnacentral:rRNA from 1 species